GUGCUCGCUUCAGCAGCCCAUAUACUAAAGUUGAAACAACAUAGAGAAGAUUAGCAUAGCCCCUGCACAAGAUGACAUGAAAAUCUGUAAAGCAUUUCAUACUAAA
ensembl:snRNA U6 U6 spliceosomal RNA